ensembl:lincRNA Gm16712 predicted gene, 16712
GUGUGCGUGCGUGUGCGCGAGAGGGGCUUGCAAAAGGAAAUGACCGGAAGGAAGCACGCCUCGCCCGGAGCCCUCGCACACUUCACCCUCUGUAGGAACAUUUAGACUCUGAGCACUUACGUUUAAAACUUUCCGUUCCGACAUUUUCGCUUCCUGUCCAGCGAACAAGCGAAGAAGCGGUCCUCAGUCUACGGGGAGUUUCUCCGAUUCAGCGCCUCAGUGUCGCCACUUCCUCAGCCGGCUCACUGUUCACAAAGCCCCGCACCGGCAGAAGAAGAAAGAUCAUCCCACAGGGUUGGAAAUUGAGGUCUGAAGAGGUCAAGUGAAUUAUCCAGUGCUUCGGAGCAGCCCAGUACAUGGAAAACCACGCCCCCCCUGCGCGCGCAGCUCACCUGGCGGAAGUGAGAGGCUCCUCGGCGCCGGUAGCGGAGUCGGUACUUGAGAGAGAAGAUGUCCGGGAAGGGCCAGGAAGCAGGGGGAUGCCAGAGCACCUGCAGGCGCUGUCCCGCUGUGCGCAGGCGCACGCCUUCCGGAGGGUCCGGCUUGACUGGUGGGAGCAGGACCGGGGUCAGCUUCCGCUCUGCCGGUUCAUCCCUCACACACUAAGUCUUCGUUUGUGACUCUUAUUCAUUCACACGUUCGCUUUCACCCUCAGACAGCUAUUCAUGGAUUUGCUCCGUCCUGCCGUUCAUUCAUACUCACACUUCAUUCGUUCACGUAUUCACUAAAUUCUUCACUAAUUCAUUCCUCUACUCAGUUACUCACCAUCUCACUCACACAUUUAUUUAUUGGUUGAUUCAAGUGCAGAUUUGUUUCUGGAUUCAUUAACUCAUUCAUUUGCGCUUAUCGUUUAUACACUCAUUCGUUCAGGGAUCCAUUUCCCAGUCAUUAGGUCAUUCACCGUAUCCUUUGUGAAUUCAUUCAUUCACUCCCUAAUUGAGUCAUUCAUUCGUCCAUGCACUCACUCAUGUCAUUCAUUCAUUUUUUUCAUGGCCUUCAUGUAUUCAUUAUGCAUUCAUUAUGUCAGUUGUGCAUUUAUUCACUCAUUCACUAAGUCAUUCAUGCAUUCAUUCGUUUAUUCAUUAAGUCAUUCGUGUGCAUGCACUCAUGUCAUUUAUGCCUUCAUUCACUCAUUAUGCAUUCAUUCAUUACUAAAUCAUUCACUCAUCCACUUGAUAUCUGUCAUGCAGGCAUUCAUUUAUUCCUUCAUUCGUCUAUCUGCUCAAGGAAAAACCAUUUGCUGGACCGCUCUCAUCACUGCUGAUAGAAGUCACAAGGGUCGCACAGGCAAAGAAAAGUGCAAGUCUCCAGUAGGCUGAAGGGCUUUUCUGAGAUACAAUUCUGAGAGCACAAGUCUCUGCUAGAAGACAUCCCGUGCAUCUGCAGAGAGCGUUUUCAUUACUCCACCUACUUAUGGAACACUCCUUCAUGACAACACAAGCCAUCUUCCUACCCUUCUCUGUCCUCAGCACUCAGGCUUCCUGUCUCUAGACUCCUCUGUACUGCAGCCCGCACUGGGUGGGUUGAGUCUGGGUUGCUCACUGAGCGUAGUGUCCUCAAGGUCCCGCCACAGCUGUGGGUGCCAGAGCCCCACUCUCUCUUUGUUAGGGCUGAGUAACGCUAGAUAAACACUGGGUGCCCAUCUCUCCAUGGGAACGCACGGGGCACUGGCCUUCUGGAUGCUGGCAAUGAUGUUGCCAAGGAUUGGUAGGGAGGAACGGCUUUAUUGCUGUUGAGCAGAUCCUUAGGAUUGGAGUUGGGCGAUCAUGUGGAGACUUCAGGUUUAAACCCUCGAGAGCUGUGUAGCCUUUCACUGACCUGCAUCAGCUUUUGUUCUUGGCUUUCUUUUCUGAGACAGGUGCUCAGGAGUGACCUUGGCUUGCCUUGAACAUGAUCUGUAGAUCAGGCUGGCCUUGAAUUCUCAGAGAUCUGCCUACCUCUGGGAUUAAAGACUUGUACACC